rnacentral:rRNA from 1 species
GUGGGGAAUAUUGGACAAUGGGCGAAAGCCUGAUCCAGCCAUGCCGCGUGUGUGAAGAAGGUCUUCGGAUUGUAAAGCACUUUAAGUUGGGAGGAAGGGCAGUAAGUUAAUACCUUGCUGUUUUGACGUUACCGACAGAAUAAGCACCGGCUAACUUCGUGCCAGCAGCCGCGGUAAUACGAAGGGUGCAAGCGUUAAUCGGAAUUACUGGGCGUAAAGCGCGCGUAGGUGGUUCAGCAAGUUGAAGGUGAAAUCCCCGGGCUCAACCUGGGAACUGCCUCCAAAGCUACUGAGCUAGAGUACGGUAGAGGGUAGUGGAAUUUCCUGUGUAGCGGUGAAAUGCGUAGAUAUAGGAAGGAACACCAGUGGCGAAGGCGACUACCUGGACUGAUACUGACACUGAGGUGCGAAAGCGUGGGGAGCAAACAGGAUUAGAAACCCUGGUAGUCC